NNNUCUAUCGCCAAGUGGUAAGGCAACGGGUUUUGAUCCCGUCAUUCCCUGGUUCGAAUCCAGGUAGACCUGCCA
rnacentral:tRNA from 1 species